rnacentral:rRNA from 1 species
CCUACGGGAGGCAGCAGUGAGGAAUAUUGGUCAAUGGACGCGAGCCUGAACCAGCCAUGUAGCGUGCAGGAUGACGGCCCUACGAGUUGUAAACUGCUUUUGUACGAGGGUAAACGCAGACACGCGUACCUGUUUGAAAGUACUUUAUGAAUAAGGAUCGGCUAACUCCGUGCCAGCAGCCGCGGUAAUACGGAGGAUCCAAGCGUUAUCCGGAUUUAUUGGGUUUAAAGGGUGCGUAGGCGGUCGGAUAAGUUAGUGGUGAAAUCCCGAGGCUCAACUUCAGAAUUGCAAUUGAUACUGGUCGGCUAGAGAGUAGUUGCGGUAGGCGGAAUGUGUGGUGUAGCGGUGAAAUGCUUAGAGAUCAUACAGAACACCGAUUGCGAAGGCAGCUUACCAAGCUACUUCUGACAUUGAGGCUCGAAAGCGUGGGGAGCAAACAGGAUUAGAUACCCCUGUAGUC